rnacentral:misc_RNA from 1 species
AGUUUCCCUUAUUUUAGCAGAUUCAAAUUUGGAAAUCAAUUAUUGAAUCAAAUAUUUUGAUUUCUUUUUUGGUGAAAUAUAAUCAGUAAUUAGAGGGCUGUGAUGACUAGUUUCAUUUCUCGAUACUGAUCUAAAGUUGUUUUUUUUUACGGAUCAAGAAAAGGCAACGAUUUAAGAUUGAUGACCGCGUUUGUGCGUGUCUGAGCCUGCCCUUUUCCCUUUUGGUGAUCUUGAUUUUGAUUUUGUUUGGCUGCUUUCUGAGGUUUUCAAUUUUCUUGCUUGUUUUGAAAAGGUUGAAAGGAUUUUUUUUCCGGGGCUGCGAUGAUAAAAGUAAAAUUCCUCGUACUGAAAAUGCCCGAUUUGGGUAUGACAGACUCUUAUUUACACCCAUAGAAUCUGAGCUUCCCCAAGUUUUCUUUUUAUUUUUUAUUUUUU